rnacentral:rRNA from 1 species
UAGGGGAGCCACCAGUGAGAAUUAUUGGCCAAUGGUCCGAAUUUUGAACCACCCAUGCCGCUUCCAGAAAAACGCCCCUAUGGGUGGUAAACUGGUUUUGUCCGGGAAUAAACCUCCUUACGUGUAUGGAGCUGAAUGUACCGGAAGAAUAAGGAUCGGCUAACUCCGUGCCACCACGCGAGGUAAUACGGAGGAUCCGAGCGUUAUCCGG